AAACAAACCAACGCGCAGAGAAGUGUUCGUAAAAGAUAUGGUUUGGUUCGUCCUGGUAUGCGACAGCGAGUCAUAUAUAUAUAUGUUCAAUGGGUUACCCUACCUGGGCAAGGUACUACAGUGCUAGCAAAAUAAUGAACCAAGGCCAUACCAUGACCCUUGACCUGCAUGCAGGUUACCAGAGGAGGGUUGUGACCACAGACAAGUCCAGUGCCACUUGUGGAAGUGUUCCUGCACCAGGACUGCAGGCUUAUUGGCACCAUAGUCAACAAUCUACACCUCCCUGCAGAGGUGAAGGAACAAAAGCCAAGAGUCACAGUUAGAAGGGACGAGCAGCUUCCUCCACCGUGAUAGGAUGAUGUUAGUAGCGUCGAACCCAAGAAAGGUUACGAAGACUUCGGCCAUCCACACGAUCAUGGGGGAUAUAGGAAAGAUCAAGGCUCUGCACUACUAAAACCUCACAAAAGGUAGUCUGGACAUAUUCGACCACCUGUACUCCCUCUACUGUACUCAGAGAAAGACAAAAAAGUCGCCCACGAGUUAUUUCAUGCGCAUUAUGGUCAUGGCCGCCGUCAAAGCGUCUAUUGUGUAUGAGGAAGGUCGCCAACCGGCAGGAGGAUCUUUGAGCUGGGUGUUGCUAUCAUGCAGUUGUAGGUCCAUCUGUCGGGAGCUAUGUGCGGCAGCUACAUCCCCGUCCAUGGUGUCCUGAUCUGGGAUUUUAUUGGUGAGAAUUCUUUCCACUCCCUUUUGGUACGAUGUGAUACAACGGGGAACAAAUCGUCCCCGCCUUUUGCAUGGUGCUAGGCUCCUUGUGAAUGACAUUGUGUAGUCAAGUAGACUUUUUAUUGUUCCAAUGUAUUUAUUGGUAAUAUAUCUGUUUUUGUUCAUCGUUGUUUUCGUCAUAUCUUUAAGAUGAAAAUGAAAAAAAGCAACAAAUAAACAUUCUAUGAGCAGAAACCGACCCGGGUAUGCCCCACUCAAGAUGCCGUUCUUGAUCGGAUAUUUUGAAAAGUACCAUUCUAAAGGCUAGAGUAGGCAUGCAAUGUUUAUUGUCAUAUUUUGUACUUCCUCGUCGUCUGCAAAGAUAGAUAAUUAUUGGGAUUAUAUUUGACCCUUAAUCUGUGAUGAAAACAGUUAACAUAAUCGGCACCAAAACAGAUACUUGAGAUACUCCGCUAGUUAUUUGUUUCCAUGUAGGGUGCUAUCCUCUAAUUGCUGUACUGAUAUAUCUCUUAUGUAGGAAGAUUCAUGCAUUCGAGAAAUUUGCCUUAUGCCUAGAUGUUCCAAUUCCAAUGGCUGCCUAACGCGACACCUUAUCAAGCGCAUUUUAAAAUCUAAGUACACACAUAACUCGCUGUUUCCAAAUCAUUCUAGAAGCUUAUAUAUUAGCCUGGAUUAGUG